GACGAACGCUGGCGGCGUGCUUAACACAUGCAAGUCGAGCGGAAAGGCCCUGCUUUUGUGGGGUGCUCGAGUGGCGAACGGGUGAGUAACACGUGAGAAACCUGCCCUUGACUUUGGGAUAACUUCAGGAAACUGGGGCUAAUACCGGAUAGGAGCUCCUGCUGCAUGGUGGGGGUUGGAAAGUUUCGGCGGUUGGGGAUGGACUCGCGGCUUAUCAGCUUGUUGGUGGGGUAGUGGCUUACCAAGGCUUUGACGGGUAGCCGGCCUGAGAGGGUGACCGGCCACAUUGGGACUGAGAUACGGCCCAGACUCCUACGGGAGGCAGCAGUGGGGAAUAUUGCACAAUGGGCGGAAGCCUGAUGCAGCAACGCCGCGUGCGGGAUGACGGCCUUCGGGUUGUAAACCGCUUUCGCCUGUGACGAAGCGUGAGUGACGGUAAUGGGUAAAGAAGCACCGGCUAACUACGUG
rnacentral:rRNA from 1 species